rnacentral:rRNA from 1 species
UACGGGGGGAGCAAGCGUUGUUCGGAUUUACUGGGCGUAAAGGGCGCGUAGGCGGCCACUGCAAGUCAGUUGUGAAAUCUCCGGGCUUAACUCGGAAAGGUCAACUGAUACUGCAGGGCUAGAGUGCAGAAGGGGCAACUGGAAUUCUCGGUGUAGCGGUGAAAUGCGUAGAUAUCUGGAGGAACACCGGUGGCGAAGGCGGCAUCCUGGACCGGUAUUGACGCUGAGGCGCGAAAGCCAGGGGAGCAAACGGG